rnacentral:rRNA from 1 species
CAAUAGCGUAUAUUAAAGUUGUUGCAGUUAAAAAGCUCGUAGUUGGAUUUCGGGGUGGCCUGGCUGGUCCGCCGCAAGGUGAGUACUGGUCAGCCGCCCUUCCUCUCGAAAGCCCCGACUGCUCUUUACUGCAGUGGUCGGGUAGUUCGGGACGUUUACUUUGAGAAAAUUAGAGUGUUCAAGGCAGGCUAUCGCCUGAAUACAUUAGCAUGGAAUAAUGGAAGAGGACCUCGGUCCUAUUUUGUUGGUUUCUAGGGCCGAAGUAAUGAUUAAGAGGGACAGUUGGGGGCAUUCGUAUUUAAUUGUCAGAGGUGAAAUUCUUGGAUUUAUGAAAGACGAACUAGUGCGAAAGCAUUUGCCAAGGAUGUUUUCAUUAA